CCUACGGGAGGCUGCAGUGGGGAAUAUUGGACAAUGGGGGGAACCCUGAUCCAGCCAUGCCGCGUGUGUGAAGAAGGCCCUCGGGUUGUAAAGCACUUUCAGUGAGGAAGAACGCCUGGUGGUGAAUACCCAUCAGGAAAGACAUCACUCACAGAAGAAGCACCGGCUAACUCCGUGCCAGCAGCCGCGGUAAUACGGAGGGUGCGAGCGUUAAUCGGAAUUACUGGGCGUAAAGCGCGCGUAGGUGGCUUGAUAAGCCGGUUGUGAAAGCCCCGGGCUCAACCUGGGAACGGCAUCCGGAACUGUCAAGCUAGAGUGCAGGAGAGGAAAGUAGAAUUCCCGGUGUAGCGGUGAAAUGCGUAGAGAUAGGGAGGAAUACCAGUGGCGAAGGCGGCCUUCUGGACUGAAACUGACACUGAGGUGCGAAAGCGUGGGUAGCAAACAGGAUUAGAUACCCUAGUAGUC
rnacentral:rRNA from 1 species